rnacentral:misc_RNA from 1 species
AUCUCUCAAAUACAAAACUUUAUUGUUUUUGUGUUUGGACUUGGAAGCUUGUCGGCGCAAGUCGACUCUUCUUAAAUGCAUUAGCUGGGGUUUAUAUAGUGGAUCCUUGGUGUGAUAAUUAUCUACGCCUUGAAGUCCCUGUAGACCUUGCUUCAAACCGUCUUGUUAUGAGACAAUUUUGAAUC